UCUUAUGCACAUGCCUACAACAUAGCAUUAACGCCCUGGAUCCUAGUCAAGUGUGCUUGGGCUAGAGUAGUACUCGGAUGGGUGAAUGCCCAAGAAGUCCUAGUGUUUUAUAUGCC
rfam:Picea glauca, whole genome shotgun sequence.